AGGAAUAUUGGUCAAUGGGCGCAGGCCUGAACCAGCCAAGUAGCGUGAAGGAUGACUGUCCUAUGGGUUGUAAACUUCUUUUAUAAAGGAAUAAAGUCGGGUAUGUAUACCCGUUUGCAUGUACUUUAUGAAUAAGGAUCGGCUAACUCCGUGCCAGCAGCCGCGGUAAUACGGAGGAUCCGAGCGUUAUCCGGAUUUAUUGGGUUUAAAGGGAGCGUAGAUGGAUGUUUAAGUCAGUUGUGAAAGUUUGCGGCUCAACCGUAAAAUUGCAGUUGAUACUGGAUAUCUUGAGUGCAGUUGAGGCAGGCGGAAUUCGUGGUGUAGCGGUGAAAUGCUUAGAUAUCACGAAGAACUCCGAUUGCGAAGGCAGCCUGCUAAGCUGCAACUGACAUUGAGGCUCGAAAGUGUGGGUAUCAAACAGGAUUAGAUACCCUGGUAGUCCACACGGUAAACGAUGAAUACUCGCUGUUUGCGAUAUACUGCAAGCGGCCAAGCGAAAGCGUUAAGUAUUCCACCUGGGGAGUACGCCGGCAACGGUGAAACUCAAAGGAAUUGACGGGGGCCCGCACAAGCGGAGGAACAUGUGGUUUAAUUCGAUGAUACGCGAGGAACCUUACCCGGGCUUAAAUUGCAGAUGAAUUACGGUGAAAGCCGUAAGCCGCAAGGCAUCUGUGAAGGUGCUGCAUGGUUGUCGUCAGCUCGUGCCGUGAGGUGUCGGCUUAAGUGCCAUAACGAGCGUAACCCUUGUUGUCAGUUACUAACAGGUUCCGCUGAGGACUCUGACAAGACUGCCAUCGUAAGAUGUGAGGAAGGUGGGGAUGACGUCAAAUCAGCACGGCCCUUACGUCCGGGGCUACACACGUGUUACAAUGGGGGGUACAGAGGGCCGCUACCACGCGAGUGGAUGCCAAUCCCCAAAACCUCUCUCAGUUCGGACUGGAGUCUGCAACCCGACUCCACGAAGCUGGAUUCGCUAGUAAUCGCGCAUCAGCCACGGCGCGGUGAAUACGUUCCCG
rnacentral:rRNA from 1 species